UCUCUCUCUCUCUCUCUCUCUCUCUCUCUCUCUACGAUGUGUUCCAAUGUUUUUAGUCUUGUGUUUACAUGUGCUGAAUUUGGUUUCAUAAUGUGUUUUUGUGAUGUUUUCACUUCAUUGUCUUCCUACGUUAUACUGUCAUUGGAAAUGUUUAAUUUCUGAAGCUAUCAAGAGCUUUUAGCAUCAAUUUUUUUAGGCUAAAUGUUGCUCUUACCUCUAUAGGUAAUGGGUCUUGAACUGGGUGCAGUGAAUUUGAACAAAAGCAUACGUUUUUAUGUAUGUAGUUAAAAUUGGUAAUAAUCUCCUACCAAAAUCGUAGUAAGGUAGAAUUAAAGAAUUUAAUUCUUUUUAUGUAACCUCUAUACUCCGCUAAGUAGAUGUGGAUUUCGCAUGAAGGGAUUUAUUGUUCAAUUUCAUCUAAUUCUGAAUGAACGAUUCUAAGUAGAAAAAUGGUGUUGGAAGAAUUCGGAUGAGAUAAUUCGGAUCUCGCAUCGCUCAGUUCUCACUAGGUAUGAUUUUCUCUCUGCUUUAUCUAUUUUUGUUUGCUGCAAAAAUUCUGUAAAAAAUGUGUUCUUCUAUAUAGCUGUUGCAACUCGCAAUUGAGACAAGUGAUUAUAUUUUUCUACACUUGCUAAAGAUGUGAAAUCGACAUGUCUGAAUAAGUAAUGUAAAAUCAUUACUUAGUUUGUUUUCUUUGCUAAUUCAGGUGACAUCUUAUUUAAUUGAAGGUAGUACUGACAUUAUUCACAUUUGAGAUGACCAUUAACUAUGAGAUCAUAGUUAGAAGUAGUAGGUCACUGAACAAAUUGCCGUCUUAGUAAUUUGAGGUUGGAUAUGAGACUGAUGUUUUUCUAUUCAAUCGACUUAUUAUUAUUAUUUUUUUGAUGAAUAAGAUUGAUCAAUUAGGCUAAGCUAAUUUUAAUCUUGAGAACAUAUUUUGGGAUAGGUUGUAGGAGUAUUAAGAAGGCAAGGGUUUGGGAUAGGUUGUAGGCGUUGAAGUUGGGGCUCUCUUAAUUUAUGAACAUGAUCUAGUAUAGAAGUGGGUUUCAUGGUCCUUUGGGGUGGAAUAUGUUCUGUGGAUGUUUUUUUUUAUGAGCUUUGCAUAUAUGAUAAGCACUAGCAAUGGGAACUGUGAUGGGGUGUAGGUGUCCUGUGAGCUGUCUCGGGUAUCGGAGAUGAACCACCUUAUGGUGAACGGCAGCCUGCGAUACACCAUCCUGGUGUAGGAACUGUGAGGAAGGAUUACUCUCCUAAUCAUGAUGUGAUUUGCUAGAGGUAGGAUUACUCUCCUAAUCAUGAUGUGAUUUGCUAGAGGUUCUGACUGAUAGAGAGAAACAUGAGCUGGUUUGUUCCUAAAGCAGGUCGAAAAAUGCAUGGAUUCAUGAUGCAUUAGUAUAUAUAUGCUCCAAUGAGAUCCAUUUUGAUGUAUUUCUUCCAUUUUCUAUUCAUAUAUAGUCUCAUGUAGCAUGAAGUAUGUAUGCCAAUAGAUUCACAGGACAUUGUAAUGCAAGAAUAGAAUUGUAGUUCCCUUGUACAGUUGGUUCCUUCUCACCCAAUUUAGAGUACUUUUCCUGCAAAAUCAUCUCAGAAACAAAAGAGAUAAUGGUGUAAAUCACCGUAGCGAAUAGGAAAGUGAAAUGUGGACAGGGAAAGCUUGUACUAAUUCCUAUCUAGAGUUGAGGAUAGAAAGAGUAAUGGCCUUUAUCAACCCACGAAGUCAUGAAUUCUAGUUGAUUCAAAUUUCAUGAACGGGUUUGAAGUUCAAUGCCUACUAAUUAAUCUUUUUGCUUUGAUUGAACCAAGUUAACUUAUUCAACUUUAAUUUUUCUGAAGUAGCGAUUAGUGAAUAACUUUUUUCUGUCUUUGUUGUUUUACUUGUAAGUUAACUUUCGUCUCUCAAAGUAUUUUCAAGCAUCAUAUUCUUGCAUUCCGGUUUUAGUUGGUUUAUUUGGCUAUACGCCCACUCGCACGUGAAUUGAAAAACAUUACACGAAUUACCGUAGAAGUACACUCAUAUACAUAGCAUAUAUUCAUCUUAGUUAAACAAGGAAUAUCUUGGUUAAUGCAAAAGGAACAUCUACUGCUAAUAUUAGAUUGGGUCACAAUAAUGUGAUGGUCGACAGAGAAUUUUUUGGUUUAAUUAGGAAAAAGUUUAGAUUGAGUUUUGAGUGUCACAAUAUUAGAUUGAGUUUUGAGUGUCCAUGUGUUCAAUUAGGAAAAAGUUUACAGCUGUACCAUGAGAAGGAAAAAAUACAUGCACAAUCCAGCAAACAUGGCUAAAAGACUUGCUGACCCAGAGGAAGAUUGGAUGAUUUGAUUAACUUGCUAAGUAGCUUGGUAGAUUUGGUGGCUCCUGUAUAGGGUAUCGUUUUUGCUUAUGAAGUGUAGUGUCACUGAUUUUGUUUUAGUUUCAGUUGUAUAUGCCAAGGCCAUCUUCUUGGUUUGCUUGUUCUUUGUUUGAGCUAUAAAGAAGUGCAUUACGCAUCGAAAACAACAAAACCUUACGAGUUAUUUCUUUCUUAAUUGAAUCCAUCGAAAAAAAUGCUUUUUAUGUGUUUGUUUCUUAACCUUAAGCAAUGACCAAUACACCAGUUGGUCUCCCGAGAGUUGCAUUUUUUUUCUUACCUGGUAUGUGUUUAUGCGUGUCCCAUGUAUAUUCUCAGCCUCUACUACUCUCAUAGGCUAGAAAUUAGAAGUUCAACUUUCUUUUUUGGCCAUAAAUUUAGUUCUUUCUGAUCCAGUUAAGGAAAUUCCAGUAGAGCUGUUUUCUAGUUGCAUUAUCCGUGUUGUAAGCUAAAACCAUGUUGUAGAUUGCAUGGCUCUAACGUUAGAGUUAUUUCUUUCUUAAUUGAGUCCAUGCCCAUAAGAUGGACUCAAUUAGCUUUUUAUGCAUAAUGUUAAGACAAUUUUUCGUUUUGGCUUCUAAUUAGUUAGUAUCUACCUAUGUUCAUGCUUUGAGCAAUGGGAUACACUAGUUCAUAAAUACUAAUGGUGGAUUGCUACUGGAAACUGAACAGGAUCCAAAGGAAACCUUCAUAUUUUUGCAGCGUAUUAGACCGCUAGAGAGAGAGAGAGAUGAGUGGGCUGGGUAUUGAGACCUAGCACUAGCUUCCCAACAAAACUAGACGAGCGCCAAAACCUGAAAGAUAAGCGCCAAAUUCUAGCGCCAUAUUUCCCUUCAAAACUAGACGAGCAUCAAAACCUGAAAGUUGCUUUUGGGGAGUGGUUCAGUUAUGAGGUGUUCCCUUCCCUUCUACCUUGAAUUCAAGAGAAUAUUAUGCAUGUAGUUCUAAAGUUUGAGACUUCUAUUGCAGAUUCGUCAACGGUUGCUUCGGUUGCUUUUCCUGUUUCUCGUGCUCCUGAGGGACGGCGUUUUAAUGGAGUAUCGUUCAGGAUGUUGGUUAUUGACUAUGAAGAUCGAAGUUAGAUUUUGGUUGUGGACAUGCUUAGAUAUUUUUUGGUUAUCCAUUUGUUGAAGUUGAGUGUUCACGGGGUUUGGAUACAUUUUGUUACUGAGUUUGGAUUUUUUUUAUUUUCCCCCCGUGGUGGACGUGUUGUUAUUUUGAAUUCUAGGAAUUUGGGUACAAGUUUUUUUAACUAUUUGGUGGACACCUCUAUUUAUGAAAGUUUGUAUUUAUUUCUUGGAA